CGACCAGACUCCUACGGGAGGCAGCAGUGGGGAAUAUUGCACAAUGGGCGCAAGCCUGAUGCAGCCAUGCCGCGUGUAUGAAGAAGGCCUUCGGGUUGUAAAUUACUUUCAGCGGGGAGGAAGGCGAUAAGGUUAAUAACCUUGUCGAUUGACGUUACCCGCAGAAGAAGCACCGGCUAACUCCGUGCCAGCAGCCGCGGUAAUACGGAGGGUGCAAGCGGUAAUCGGAAUUACUGGGCGUAAAGCGCACGCAGGCGGGCUGUCAAGUCGGAUGUGAAAUCCCCGGGCUCAACCUGGGAACUGCAUUCGAAACUGGCAGGCUGGAGUAUUGUAGAGGGGGGUAGAAUUCCAGGUGUAGCGGUGAAAUGCGUAGAGAUCUGGAGGAAUACCGGUGGCGAAGGCGGCCCCCUGGACAAAGACUGACGCUCAGGUGCGAAAGCGUGGGGAGCAAACAGGAUUAGAUACCCCAGUAGG
rnacentral:rRNA from 1 species